UGCAAGUCGAGCGGACAGAUGGGAGCUUGCUCCCUGAAGUCAGCGGCGGACGGGUGAGUAACACGUGGGCAACCUGCCUGUAAGACUGGGAUAACUCCGGGAAACCGGGGCUAAUACCGGAUAAUUCUUUCCCUCACAUGAGGGAAAGCUGAAAGAUGGUUUCGGCUAUCACUUACAGAUGGGCCCGCGGCGCAUUAGCUAGUUGGUGAGGUAACGGCUCACCAAGGCAACGAUGCGUAGCCGACCUGAGAGGGUGAUCGGCCACACUGGGACUGAGACACGGCCCAGACUCCUACGGGAGGCAGCAGUAGGGAAUCUUCCGCAAUGGACGAAAGUCUGACGGAGCAACGCCGCGUGAGUGAUGAAGGUUUUCGGAUCGUAAAACUCUGUUGUUAGGGAAGAACAAGUACCGGAGUAACUGCCGGUACCUUGACGGUACCUAACCAGAAAGCCACGGCUAACUACGUGCCAGCAGCCGCGGUAAU
rnacentral:rRNA from 1 species